rnacentral:rRNA from 1 species
AGCUUUUAAAAGGCGGCGUNAGCUGUCGCUAUGGGAUGGCCCCGCGGUGCAUUAGCUAGUUGGUAAGGUAAAGGCUUACCAAGGCGAUGAUGCAUAGCCGAGUUGAGAGACUGAUCGGCCACAUUGGGACUGAGACACGGCCCAAACUCCUACGGGAGGCAGCAGUAGGGAAUCUUCCACAAUGGACGCAAGUCUGAUGGAGCAACGCCGCGUGAGUGAAGAAGGUUUUCGGAUCGUAAAGCUCUGUUGUUGNUGAAGAAGGAUAGAG